ACAAAGAACAUACAGUAGGAUGCCUACAAGACUAAACACAGAACAGUGAUUCAGGAGGAGGAAAGGAGAUGGGAGAGUACAGAAAGUCACUAACAAUUUGUAGGAAAGGUCAGUGUCACCUUCUGCCAGCUGCAUGAAACAGCUGAUUCCCUAUCUGCACAUCCCAUCUCUGGAGCAUGCAGCCACUAAAAAUCCAUGACCAAAGGACACACAGGCCUUGGCUUGAAGUCAAACUGGCCUUCCAGAGGAACACAUUACAUCAGGUGUUUUAAAGAUUACUAUUCUUGGGAAGAGGUCCUUCCAAAAAUGGUGAACAGCCCUGUGGCAAACAGACUGGUAUCCCAACUAUUAGCCUUCUUGGAUGCCUAACAGUUCCAUGUUUCUAGGAACACCUUUGCUACAAAGCGUCAAAUAUAUGUGCCCUCUGGAUAUUGU